rnacentral:lncRNA from 1 species
GUCAGAAGUCGUUUUACCUCUUCUCGGAUGGCCAGUUGCCGAUCCGGGGCCUGCCGCCUGGGUCUCUGUUUUACCGGGCGGGCGUCGGACGAGAUGUUCAAGUGGUGCAGCGCGACUUCCGGGUGGACUUCGACUAGGUCAGUCGGCGUCCAAGCGAAGAUGUCGGCGUUGGCUCGCAGAAGGCCGACGAGCUGCUGUUGCUCUUGUUCGGGCAGUCCCGACCCGACUUUGACUGUUUGGUCGGGCCUUCCUUCGAUCAGUGGCAAAUCAAUGGUGGAUUCCUUCGGCUCGGGGCGGGGGGUCGGUUUUUUUCCCUCCCGGGGGUCUUCCAGCGGGGAUUGGAUCCUCGCUCUCUUGUUUAGUGACACAGCGGUCAAGUAGCAGCGCCUGGACUCCCAGGAGUUCCCCGCCACUUCCCCGACCCCAUCGUGGGUCGGGAACUUGAUGGUUUGGUAGUAAGUUUAGAUGACGGCUCGGGUCUUGUUGAGGGUUGGCCGUCCGAGGAUGGCGUUGUAUGCCGUGGGGAGGUCGACCACCAGAAA